rnacentral:rRNA from 1 species
GUGUCAGCCGCCGCGGUAAAACGUAGGAGGCAAGCGUUAUCCGGAUUUACUGGGCGUAAAGCGCGUGCAGGUGGUGCACUAAGUCGUGCGUGAAAGCGCUCUGCUUAACAGGGCGAGGGCGGGCGAGACUGGUGGACUAGAGCUAGAUAGAGGCAAGUGGAAUUCCGGGUGUAGUGGUGAAAUGCGUAGAGAUCCGGAGGAAUACCAGUGGCGAAGGCGGCUUGCUGGGUCUAAGCUGACACUCAGACGCGAAAGCAUGGGGAGCGAACGGGAUUAGAAACCCUCGUAGUCC